GACACUGACCAGAACAAUAUGUCUAGGGUGAGGGCCUGACCUGUGAAGAAAAGUGUUGGCACAGACUGCACAUGGAAAAUCCUGUAUUCCCUGUGUGGCGUCACAACCAACAACACGGCAGGAAGCAGACAUGCUGUGGAAUGAGCAGCUCUGGAGACCCUUUGCUAGGACGGCAGAUCACAGAUUGCCCAGAACCAGUUAAAAGGAGAAAAGUAACAAGCUACAAAGACAGCUACUGGAAACAGAAGUUACUGGGGGAAAAAAGAGUGAGCAAGCAGUUCCUUUCAGAACACUGAUUAACAAAACCCAAAGCAAGCCUAGUCUACCUGCUCCUUAUCCAACUACACCACAAGACUGAGCAUCUUUGAGAAACACCACGUACUCUUCUGGAAAAAGAAGAUGCUACUUGGUAACUUCAGGCAUUUGGUGUCACAGGAAUGACUUCUAGACUGAAAUUGCCACUGUCUCGAGGUUGACAGGGAGCUAUGCAGAGCACUUUUGAUAUUGAACCGCAAAUACAGAACACAUAAAAAGCACAUAUUAAUGAAACUGAAGUACAUGAAUAAUUUAAAAGGAAUAAUUUUGCUUAUCUAGAAUAAAGAUGAUGAAAAAGUUGGAGGAAAAUGUAUUAACCAUUCCUAAACUAUUCAGAAAAUGUACAUGCGUUUUAUGAAUACAAAAAAUAACUUGCUAAGAGACUAUGAAUUGGCAUGUAAAAAUUUUGCAGGUUAGAUUUGCUCUAGCAAGAUAAAGAAAUUGAAAUUUUCUAGCCUUCUCCUAUGAAAGCAUAUUAAGUAACGUUACAGCUUGCUAAUUAUUAGAAACACACUGUUAAAGUCCUUAAAAAAAAAACAAAACUUGUGUUACACCAUAUAAAUACAGGUAAAUUGACUGCUGUGUUGCUUUCAUAUGUUUCAGCAGUAGAAGCAGAUAAGCAGCACAGCAGCAAAACCUGCAUGCAUACUACUGCUUUUUAAUGUGGUUUCUUUUGUAGAAUACAAGGACAAAAAAAUACAUUAGCAACUUAAGCGCUAGACAGCUUUCACUUACAGAAAUGAUCACUGUUCAAGAUGUUUAAUGCAAUUAGGUUAUAACCUGCAUUACAGCAAUUUGCAUAAUUUGUAUGUAAUCUGCCAGAAGGAGCGAAACCCAAGCUUUUGAUUUCUACUGACAAACAACCCUGGAGUGGCAACACUAAUAAAUCAUUAUGCCAAAGAAGUGAGAAAAACAUUUGCAGUUUUAACACAAUGGUGAACCAAAAUAUUAUACAUUAUUGUUGAAAGCUAAGGAGUUACAAGAAACAUGCUGUUACUGCCCUUGAAGAAUAAAGCUUUUAUUUCAGGCUGAAAUAAAACAAACCUCAAAUACAGACAUAAAAGAUGAAGGCUUUUAUUAAACUUGUCCAUUCCCACAAAAAUCUUCAAUUUUUUUUUUCCCUACGGUAUAUUUCAAGAUGUUUUGCUCCUAAUAGACCUUGAAGCCUGUUCUGUAGUCUCACUGCAUUUACUGAUAGGAAGUUUUUGGUUGAUUUCCCAUCAUGAAAUUCCACAUUAGUUAUGUAUUAUACCAUAACAGUCUGUGUCACAAGUCUCAAAAACACCAGAAUGCUCCUGAAAUGUGUGUAUGUGUGUGUGUGUGGGGGAGGGUAGUAUUUAUUUCCAAUUUU